UACAGAGGGUGCAAGCGUUGUUCGGAAUUACUGGGCGUAAAGCGCGCGUAGGCGGCUUUGUAAGUUAGAGGUGAAAGCCCAGGGCUUAACCCUGGAAUUGCCUUUAAGACUGCAUCGCUAGAAUCGUGGAGAGGUGAGUGGAAUUCCGAGUGUAGAGGUGAAAUUCGUAGAUAUUCGGAAGAACACCAGUGGCGAAGGCGACUCACUGGACACGUAUUGACGCUGAGGUGCGAAAGCGUGGGGAGCAAACAGG
rnacentral:rRNA from 1 species